UACGUAGGGACCGAGCGUUGUCCGGAAUCAUUGGGCGUAAAGAGCGUGUAGGCGGCUCGCUAAGUCUUGCGUGAAAUCUCGGGCUCAACCCCGAGCGGUCGUGAGAAACUGGCGGGCUAGAGUGCGGGAGAGGAGAGUGGAAUUCCUGGUGUAGCGGUGAAAUGCGCAGAUAUCAGGAAGAACACCCGUGGCGAAGGCGGCUCUCUGGAACGCAACUGACGCUGAGACGCGAAAGCGUGGGGAGCAAACAGG
rnacentral:rRNA from 1 species